rnacentral:rRNA from 1 species
AGUCACUGACAUUAGAUACCCGCGUAGUCCAGGGUGUAAACGCUGCAGACUUGGUGUUGGGGGCCCUUUGGGGGCAUUCAGUGCCGGAGAGAAGUUGUUAAGUCUGCUACUUGGGGAGUACGUCCGCAAGGAUGAAACUUAAAGGAAUUGGCGGGGGAGCACCGCAACGGGAGGAGCGUGCGGUUUAAUUGGAUUCAACACCGUAAGACUCACCAGGGAAGACUGUUACAUGAAGGCCGAGAUGAAGACUCUGCUAGAUUUUCAG